GACCAUACCAGGACCAAGAGAGCACCAGAUGUAACUCUUGGCUGGAAAUGGCCAGAGAGAGGGGCUCCAAUUACAUGAAUAAGGAAUCCAGACCAGCUCAACCUCUAGCUGAAUAUCACCACAUGACUCCAGUUAACGCCAUGUGAAGCAGAAGAAUGGCCCGAUUUGAGUCCAAUUCUGGUUGUGACCUACAAAAUAAUGAAAAAAUAAUAACACUCUGGAUGGAUAUUGGAUGCCUUGCAGCAAAACUCUCAUUAAAACAAGGAUCCUGUGAUAUGCACUACAAUGGCUGAAUUAUUGCAUUGAAGAGAAUAUUAUACUAAAACUUCACUGCGUCAUGAUCCUCAGGGAUUUUGCUAUAGAAUUACUUGUAAAUGGAACCAUUCUAUAAAAACAUCCUUCGAAGCUUCAGGAUUUCACAGAAUUGGAUGAGAAGAGAUACUUUGAUAUAGAUAAGGAAUCGAUUUGGAGAAGAAAAAUAUUAGAAACAAAUGAACAUCUGUAGAGCCUAUUUUAUUUAACCUCUCUAUAAACUGCCUGGAGAAGCUUAGAUAACAGAAAUGUCCAAACCCAAAUGUGCUAUUUUCCUGCACCAACUGUCAUAUUAUCUUCCUUUGGCACAGUCAUUGAUGUGUGGGUGGCAUGUGACCUGAGCCAGCCCAAUCAGAGUAUUUUGAGUACUGGGCUAGAGACAUUUUCUUUAGGAAAGUUUGCCCAUCAUUGCAGCUGAAGCCGUCCUACUACCCCAGAGGGAGCCUGUCUUAGAAUGGUCUUACUGGAGACACCUGGGAGACUCAGCGGUUGAGCGUCUGCCUUCGGCUCAGGUCGUGAUCCCGGUGUCCUAGGAUGGAGUCUUGGAUCAGGCUCCCCAUAGGGAGCUUGCUUCUCCCUCUGCCUAUCUCUCUGCCUCUGUGUGUCUCGUUAAUAAACAAAUAAAAUCUU